CCUACGGGGGGCAGCAGUGAGGAAUAUUGGUCAAUGGACGAGAGUCUGAACCAGCCAAGUAGCGUGAAGGAUGACUGCCCUAUGGGUUGUAAACUUCUUUUAUAUGGGAAUAAAAUGUUCCACGUGUGGGAUUUUGUAUGUACCUUAUGAAUAAGGAUCGGCUAACUCCGUGCCAGCAGCCGCGGUAAUACGGAGGAUCCGAGCGUUAUCCGGAUUUAUUGGGUUUAAAGGGAGCGUAGGUGGAUUGUUAAGUCAGUUGUGAAAGUUUGCGGCUCAACCGUAAAAUUGCAGUUGAAACUGGCAGUCUUGAGUACAGUAGAGGUGGGCGGAAUUCGUGGUGUAGCGGUGAAAUGCUUAGAUAUCACGAAGAACUCCGAUUGCGAAGGCAGUUCACUGGACUGCAACUGACACUGAGGCUCGAAAGUGUGGGUAUCAAACAGGAUUAGAUACCCGAGUAGUC
rnacentral:rRNA from 1 species